AGCUUCAGUAGCGUAUAUUAAAGUUGUUGCAGUUAAAAAGCUCGUAGUCGCAUUUCUGGCGAGAGGAUCCGGUCCGACCUUUUGGUGGGUUCUUGGGUCUCUUUCGCCAUCCUUGAGUGGUCCGUUCUGGCAUUAGGUUGUCGGAGCGUCAGCCGCUCAUCGUUUACUGUGAGAAAAUUAGAGUGUUCAAAGCAGGCUUAUGCCGUUGAAUAUAUUAGCAUGGAAUAAUAAGAUAGGACCUCGGUACUAUUUUGUUGGUUUGCGCGCCAAGGUAAUGAUGAACAGGGACAGUUGGGAGUAUUUGUAUUUCGUUGUCAGAGGUGAAAUUCUUAGAUUUACGAAAGACAAACUACUGCGAAAGCAUUUACCAAGGAUGUUUUCA
rnacentral:rRNA from 1 species